AGGGCGUACGGUGGAUGCCUUGGUACCAGGAGGCGAUGAAGGACGUGGGUGGCUGCGAUAAGCCUGGGUGAGUUGCCGACCGAGCUGUGAUCCCAGGAUGUCCGAACGGGUGAACCUGGCCGGAGUGAUGUCCGGUCGCUGCUGUCUGAAUGUAUAGGGCAGUGGGUGGUAACGCGGGGAACUGAAACAUCUCAGUACCUGCAGGAAGAGAAAGCAAGAGCGAUUCCCUGAGUAGUGGCGAGCGGAAGGGGAAGAGGCUAAACCGGAUGCGUGGUAUAGCCGGCAGGUGUUGCGUGUCCGGGGUUGUUGGGACGGCUCGUUCCGGGGCUGCCGCUCUGGUGGAUGGAAGCGGGGCUAGCCGAAGGCGUUGGGAUGCGUCGGCGGAGUGGGUGAUACCCCCGUAGGCGAAAGUUGUCGUGGAAGUCCGAGUUGUUCCCGAGUAGCACGGUACCCGUGAAAUUCCGUGUGAAUCUGCCAGGCCCACCUGGCAAGCCUAAAUACUUCCUGGUGACCGAUAGUGGAUCAGUACCGUGAGGGAAUGGUGAAAAGUACCCCGGGAGGGGAGUGAAAGAGUUCCUGAAACCGUGCGCCUACAAGCCGUCAGAGCACCUGCGGGGUGUGAUGGCGUGCCUUUUGAAGAAUGAGCCUGCGAGUUAGGGUGCGUGGCGAGGUUAACCCGUGUGUGGGGGAGCCGCAGCGAAAGCGAGUCUGAAGAGGGCGUUGUGAGUCGCGUGCUCUAAACCCGAAACCGAGUGAUCUUCCCGUGGCCAGGGUGAAGCCCGGGUAAUACCGGGUGGAGGCCCGAACCUACCAGGGUUGCAAACUUGGAGGAUGAGCUGCGGGCAGGGGUGAAAGGCCAAUCAAACUCGGUGAUAGCUGGUUCUCCCCGAAAUGCAUUUAGGUGCAGCGUUGCGUGGUUCCUGGGUGGGGUAGUGCGCUGGUUGGUCGAGGGGCCGUAUCGGUUACCGAGAUCAGCUAAACGGUGAAUACGCCUGGGUUCAGCGUGGCAGUGAGUCUGUGGGGGAAAAGCUCCAUGGUCUAAAGGGAAACAGCCCAGAUCGUCGGCUAAGGCCCCGAAGUGUGUGCUGAGUGGGAAAGGAUGUGGGGUCGCUGGGACAGCCAGGAGGUUGGCUUAGAAGCAGCCAUCCUUGAAAGAGUGCGUAAUAGCUCACUGGUUAAGCGACUUUGCGCCGAAAAUUCAGCGGGGCUUGUAAGCACACCGCCGAAGCCGCGACAACGAGCCGUGUGGUUCGUUGGGUAGGGGAGCGUUCCGGUGACGGUGAAGCAUCUCGGGUGACCGGGUGUGGAGGAGCCGGAAGUGAGAAUGCAGGCAUGAGUAGUGUUUGAGGAGUGAGAAUCUCCUCCGCCGUAUGGCCAAGGGUUCCAGGGGAAGGUUGAUCCGCCCUGGGUGAGUCGGAUCCUAAGGCGAGGCCGACAGGCGUAGUCGAAGGGUAACGGGUUGAUAUUCCCGUACCCGCCGGCGCUGACCCGCCCGGCAUCGUUGGUGCUGCUGCCAUCGUUCGUGCGGCGUGUGGCUUCGUGCUGCGCGUCGUGUCGGACCGUGGUGGAGCGCUUGGUGUUCGGGCCCGCGAUGGGGGGACGCAGAAGGGUAGCCCAGCCCGGCCGUUGGUGGUGCCGGGGUAAGGGUGUAGGGCGGUGUACAGGUAAAUCCGUGCACCGGGUGCCUGAGACCUGAUACCGAGCCUGAGUGGUGAAGUGGGUGAGCCCAUGCUGCCUCGAAAAGCCUCUAGCGGACGCGUCGGUGGUCCGUACCCGAAACCGACACUGGUGGCCAGGUAGAGUAUACCGAGGCGAGCGAGCGAACCGUGGUUAAGGAAUUCGGCAAAUUAUCCCCGUAACUUCGGGAGAUGGGGAGCCGGUUGGCGUGUACGCCCGUGGCGGCGGAAGCGCGGGCCGGCCGCAGUGAAGAGGCCUGAUCGACUGUUUACUAAAAACACAGGUCCAUGCUAAGCGUGUUUGCGAAGUAUAUGGACUGACGCCUGCCCGGUGCCGGAACGUUAAGGGGAGGAGUUAGCCUUGCGGGGCGAAGCUCUGAACCUAAGCGCCGGUAAACGGCGGUGGUAACUAUAACCAUCCUAAGGUAGCGAAAUUCCUUGUCGGGUAAGUUCCGACCCGCACGAAUGGCGUAACGAAUCGGGCGCUGUCUCAACCGCGGACUCGACGAAAUUGCAAGACGAGUUAAGAUGCUCGUUUCGCGCGGCAGGACGGAAAGACCCCGGGACCUUUACUAUAGCUUGGCAUUGGUGUUUGGUGCGGCUUGUGUAGGAUAGGUGGGAGACGGUGAAGCGGACACGCCAGUGUUCGUGGAGUCAUUGGUGAAAUACCACUCUGGCCGUUCCGAGCAUCUAACCUAGGUCCGUGAUCCGGAUUGGGGACAGUGCCUGGUGGGUAGUUUAACUGGGGCGGUUGCCUCCCAAAGAGUAACGGAGGCGCACAAAGGUCCCCUCAGCUUGGUUGGAAAUCAAGUGUUGAGUGCAAGGGCACAAGGGGGCUUGACUGUGAGACUGACGGGUCGAGCAGGUGCGAAAGCAGGUCUUAGUGAUCCGGCACUACCAGGUGGCUGGGGUGUCGCUCAACGGAUAAAAGGUACCCCGGGGAUAACAGGCUAAUCAUGCCCGAGAGUCCGUAUCGACGGCAUGGUUUGGCACCUCGAUGUCGGCUCGUCGCAUCCUGGGGCUGCAGUGGGUCCCAAGGGUUGGGCUGUUCGCCCAUUAAAGCGGCACGCGAGCUGGGUUUAGAACGUCGUGAGACAGUUCGGUCCCUAUCCGCCGCGCGCGGAGGACACUUGCGAGGAGCUGUCCCUAGUACGAGAGGACCGGGACGGACGAACCUCUGGUGUGCCAGUUGUCCCGCCAGGGGCACGGCUGGUUAGCCACGUUCGGCACGGAUAACCGCUGAAAGCAUCUAAGCGGGAAGCCAGCCUCAAGAUGAGGUGUCCCUCCCCCCGUGGGUUAAGGCCUCCAGAAGAUGACUGGGUGGAUAGGCCGGCGGUGCAAGCUCGGUAACGGGUUCAGCCGACCGGUACUAAACGGCCGAGCGGCUUACCA
rnacentral:rRNA from 1 species